GCCAGUGCUGGCGGGCUUGGUGCUGAGUGCUGCUGGCUUCUCAUCUUCCUCUGCUGUGCUGGACUACUGGAGAAACAGUGAAGGAGUCUGCGUGAAGAGACCAUCCCUGACUAGAGGAGACCCUAAACCAGUCAAUUCCUCCAUACUUCGGAUCCGCUUCUUGGUCAGCAAGUGUCCCGGGGAAGCCAGGUUAGCGUGAGUGAUAGGAUCCUGCCAAUCAGAGUGAGAAACGCUGAAGGAAAUAGCCUUGCUCGCUCCCAGCACCUCCCGGGCUCCCUAGCUCAGUGUGUAAACAAGAUCAUGUGACAUCCUACAAAAAUCAAUAGAUACCCAGCAAUUCUCUCCUAGAUAGAUAGACGGUCAAGAGAAUGUCUACACAAAACACUUAGACGCAGAUGUUCCCAGCAGCACGGUAACAAGAAAAGGGGAAACGACUGAACUGUGGGUUGAUGGGUCAUCCUUAAGCAAAUUUUUGGUUUGUCCAUGCAAUGGACCAGUGUUUGAUAAUAAAAAGGAUGAACCUUAAACGCAUACCAGUCACAAAAGACUCCACUGGGUAUGGUUCUGUUUGUGUGGAACGUCCAGAAGAGGCAAAUCUAUAGAGAUAGGAAACAUACUAGAGUUUCCAGGGACGGCGAAGGGGAGAUUGAGAAGGGACUACUAAACGGAUAGAGUUUUUCUCACUGUGGUUUGGAACGCCCUGUUUUGAAGGCUUGGUCCCCAGCUGAUGGUGCUAUUGGAAAGAGAUGCAACCUUCAGUAGCUGGGCAUUAUAGAAGGAAAUAAGGUCUCUGGGGAGUGUGUACUGGGACCUGUGCCACUCGUUCUCAGUCUUCCUGCCUGCAGUGAUCUGAGUAGCUGUGUCGUCCAUGCACUGUCAGUAGCCUCAUGACAGACCCAGACCAUGAGCCAAAAGAAAAAUUUAGGUGUUUUAAGUUGUUUAUCUCAGGUGUUAUGGCAGCAGCAGAAAGAUCUUGUUAUUUUUAUAUUGCUGUGGUAAGACACUAUGACUGGGCAGCUUGUAGAAGAAAGAAUUUAUUGGGGGUGUAUGGGUUCAGAAGGUGAGUCCAUGACCACCAGGGCUGGGAAUAUGACAGCAGGUAGGCCAAUACCCUGAUCCACAGGCACCAGACAGAGAGAUCUAUUGGGAAUGGCAGAGCUUUUGAAAGCUCAAAGCUUGCCCCCAAUGACACACCUCCUCCAAUAAAGCAACACCUCUUAAUCCUUCCCAAAUGGUCCCCUCACUGUGAACCAGGUAUUCAGCUAUAGGGCUGUUCUCAUUCAACCUGCCACACUGACUAACACAGACUAUUGGUAAUGAGGAGUGGGGGCUUGAUGAUGUGGUUCAGAAGACACUGGAAUUAUUGUGAAGGAGUUUGGGAAAGUUUCAGGGAACAGGAAAGCCUAGAAUGUUGUCUUCAGUGGAGCUUAAUGGGAAAUUCUGGCGAGAACUUAAGAGACCACCAUGCUAUCAAGGGUGUAGACAGCAAAGGCUGUGUUUAUGAGGUGCCAGGUGGAAGUGAGGACUCUAUUGGGAACUAGACUAGAAGCCAUUCUUGUUACACUCUGGUAAACAACUUGUCCUAGCCUUUGUGGAGUAGAUGAGUUUAUCUGAUAGAAGAAACUUAAAUCAUUCCGGCAGUGGCAUGGGUAUUGCUGGCUGGUUUUAGCCAGAUUUGCAGUGAGAAUUGGGAUUAGAAAGCAAAACAGGAUAUGGAAAAGCAUAUAGCAUUUCCAGAAAAAGAGCAUGUAUAACCAAAAGACGUGCUGUUGUUGGAGAGAGGACCCCUUAAAAGAGGCCAAGGGGCUGUAGAGAUGGCCCAACUGGUAAAGUGUUUGGCUUGCAUACACGAAGAUCUAAAUUCAAUCCCCAGAACCUAUGUAAGAAAGCCAUUCAUAGUGGUGCACACUUGUAAUCCCAGUGCCAGACAGGCAGAGACAAGUGGAUCCAUGGGGCUCACAGACCAACAAGCCUUGUCCAUUUGCUAAGCUCUAGGCCAGCCGAAGGCCCUGUCUCUCAAAUGGGUAUGAACAGUGCCUGGCAAAUAAUAUUUGAGGUUUUUCUAGGCAGCACAGUAGAUCUGAACCUAUUGACUGGGGAGCAAGUGAACCUCCCUAAGAACAUGAACAUGGGAGACCUAGCCCUACCCCUCAUCUGCCAUACGACAGUAUGGACGAGGGAGAGAUGCCUCCCAUCAAUGCCCAAGGCAGGUGAGAGAACAGACCCUGAGGUCCUAAGAGCAGGAGAGUUGCCCCUGUCCUGCACCAGCGGCAACACUUGGGAGAGUGGCCCCUAUGCCAUGCCUGGGCAACACAGGAGAGCUGGCCCUAAAGAUGUAGGUGUGGGAGAACUAACCCUGAGGGUGUGAAAGUGGGAGAAAUGGCCCCUCCCCUUGCUCUCAACUCCUAGGGUUGAACUAGCCAAGGCAAUGCUAGAGAGCCCACCCUGGUGAAGACAGGGGAGAGCUGGAGGACUGAUCAACUCUGCAAAUAUCCAAGGCCAGAACCAGGGUUCUGUGUUGACCCACCCCAACAUCCACCGCUGAUCCUGCAAAUCCAAACUAUAAGAUCUCCAUGACACAGGGCAACAACAGGAUAACCAGAAGUUCCAAUGAGUCCCAGCAUUGAUAGUGCAGCAGAAACCAGAGGCCUCAAACUGGACCAAUAACUCUUUGCAAUGAACACUUUCAGAUAUCCAGCCCUGGUAAAACAAUGCAUGUGGACAUGCAGUCAUCAUCGGUGACCAGGCCUGAAAGCAUUGUGGGGGAGACAUGAGGGAGAUGCUGGCAGGUGCUGUGCCGUGACACCUGGAUGAUGUUCUGAGGCACAGGGAACCUCAGGAAGAGGUAUCUUUUCCUCUGCCCAGCACCUCAGCGAGACCACCAUCUCUAAACAUCUGGGUUCUGGUUGAAGACAGCGCAGAGGUUCCUGCGAGGGCGAUCCCUGGGCACUGAGUUGUUGAUAUACAGUAGGGCUAGGGAGGUGGCGUCAGAAUCCGAGGAGUUCCUGAAGCCUCCCCUCGCCCCCUGAGACCUUCCACGCCUAGUAGUGAAUGUCAGAGGAGAACUACCCUGGAGGACACUGACGUCAGCUGCAGAGCCGAUACAGCCUCCCUCUGGUGAGCUCAGCCUUGCCUGGUCUAGGACCACUUCACAUCCCACCAGCUGAGCAUCCCAGGCCACCCCUCAGAAACCUUCUGCUGAAGAUAAAGGGACUGGCACUGUUGGCUUUGAAGCCUGGGUGACAGUGAGGGGCAGAGCUGCCCGCCAGCCCAACUCUCGCCAGGAAGCUGUCCAAUGAGAAACAAGAACCUGGCAGUCUUUUAUUUAUUUGUUUGUUUCAUGUGCAUGAAUGUUUUGCCUGUGUGCAUGCAUGUUCACCACGUGCAGGCCUGGAGCCCACAGAGGUCAGAAGACGUUAUGGGUUCCACUGGAGUUGGUGGUUUGGAAGAUAGAAGCCACCAUAUAAGUGCUGGGGAUCAAGUCUGGGUCCUCUGUAGGAGCAAUAAGUAGUCUUAGCUGCCAAGGCAUCCCUCCAGUCCACACUUACAGAUUCCUUAAGCUAUUGCACUCAGGGGUCUCUGCAAUGUCCUGUCACCCUGGCUAAUCUCACUGUCUUGGCUGCUGGCACAGCCCCACCCCACCAUGUGUGCUCUCUCUAGUUAAGCUGUUGGGAGACCGCAGCAAGAGGAAGGCCCUACGGUGCACCUGCGCACUGCCUGAGCCUCAGAAGACCAGGUACCUCCUCAGUGUCCUCCCUCCGUGUUGGAGGGCAGCAUGGACAUGGCAGGACACGCAGAGGCCAGUGGCACAGCCUGAACCUGUUUUUGAGAUGUUUCCGUCCAUCCUGACCUACCACACACUCGAAAUUUUCCGCAAGCCGCCGCCUGCUCUGUGGUUAAUCACAUAGUGACCCCCAGUUACUUGUCUGUCUGGGGAUUCUUUUAGUAGGGAGGGUGUUUGCAAUUGUGUGCUGGCUGGACUGAAGGCCAGAGGAUAACCUUCAGGUGCCACCGGCCUUUUCUCUCACUGACCAGUUUGGCAGGCUGGCUGGCCAACAAGCCCUGAGGGAUCAGCCCGUCUCCACCUCCUCAUGGCCAGGAGUGUACACUUCUGUGCCAACAGUUUGUUUUUAACUGGAGUUCUGUGGAUAUGACUUAGUUCCUCUUACUUGCAAGACAAGCACUUUACUGACUGAGCCAUCCCAUUCCAUCUGGGGAUUUCCUGUCUCCUGAUGGCUUCCUCCCCUCCCCUCCCAUCUGUGAGCCUCAGAGAAGAGCCUAGGAACCAGGCUAACUCCCUGACCUUAGUGGUGUGAGGCGCCAAAUGGAGAGGAGAUGGACCACAAAGUACCUGUAGCAAGUGCCAUGAGGAGAGGACAUGACAAUAAGGCAGUUUCGUGUCCAGUUACAUUUGUGUGACAUUUCAAGAACAGGCCGAUCCAUAGAAACAAAAUGCAGGACACUGACUUCCAGGGGUACCUGUGGCAAGUGCUUCCGCGUGCAGACUUUGUUUUAGGGUAAUAGAAACAUUCUGGAAUGACAGAGUGGCAUUGGUCACAAAACACCAUGAGUCUACUAAACGGAACUGAAUAACACUCAAAAAUGGUCAAAAUGGUGACUUUUGCGUCAUGUGGCCUUUAUCACAAUAAACCAAUAGUAAGCAUUUAGAAGACACUCGGGGUCUUUAGGGAUGAUUCUGGUAGUGACAGAGGCAAAGAGAAAGGGAAAAAUCUUUUGACCCUGUGGUCUUGCUCAGUCCGUCUUCUCUUCUCUCUCAGAGGGAAUGCCGAGGGCAGACAGACAGAGCACGGUGCUGACUCCAGGAAGGUGUGAAGGCUGGGCAGUUGGCAAUAGGCCAAUUCAGAAUUUUCUUGUGUGCCAUAAAUCUUUCUCACUUUAUUUUUAAUUACCUAGCAUUCAAACACUAUCCUAUGUCAAAAGGACACAAGGGACAGAUUCUCCUCUGCAGUUCUUGGUUAUUCUUGGGUACCUUGUGUCCGCAUCCUACCAUUGUCUCUAUUCCCCUCACUCUGGCUCUCAGAUGUCUGACCCACCUCAGCUCCUGGGAUACUGGUGCUGAGGCUCUGGACCAAUAACAGUGAAGCAAAGAUGCAGGGGAGGAGAGCGCUCAGAGUGGCCAAGCCACAAAAGGUCAGAGUCCAGGGGCAGCAGCUUUAUGCAAGGCUGGGGAACAGCUUUCCUGGUGACCUCCUCACUACUGCCUGACCAUGGCUGGGACUUUCCAAGCCUGCUUUCCCUGCUUCCCUCACUUUUCCAGCUGCCUGGUGACCUUCCUCUAAAGUCUGGAUGGCUCAGAUGCACCCAGCUCUUUUUGUAGGUUGUAGUUAGCAGCCUGUUGCAGGGACACAGUCUUCCCACCUCCCUCAAAGAAGAAAACAAGGUGCAGGGCCGCAAAAUGCCUGUGACUCCUCACAGGACCCACACGUUGUCUGCCCCUCGAUGCCUGUGCAGGUGGCUGUAACUCUCAGCACUACAGAUGUGGAUAUAAAAUGUAUCACCAGGCACUAUGUUACAGUAACUAUGGUGAUGAGCAGGCAGAAUGCUGCCCUAGCAAUUAGAGGCCAAGCCACAGAGAACUGGGCAGUCUUGAGCAAGCCAGUUCCUUCUCUAUUCAGACCAAGAUGAAUUGUGGGCCCGUUCCCAGUGCUCAGGAUUCUGCGAUUCAAGAAAUGAGAAAUUACAGUCCUAUGCCUUAGCAGCAUGCCUAGGGAAACACACCAUCAUCUCUCAAAGACACUCCAUCUCACUCGGAGCCCUACAACUAAGACAGCUUCAGUUUUCAACCUUCAGCAGUUAAACAGGGCAUGGCCUUGGAAUAAGCAGCAACGCUUCCUACCUGCCACAUCCCCCUUGGGGCCUAUCAUCUUUGACGGGCUAAUAAGAGGUGGCAUUAGUUGGUGCUUACUGUAUACAACUGCUCUAGGAGUUUUGCAUAUAGUACCUCACUGAUCCUUAUACCAACCUCAUGAAAGAGAGGGUGUUGUCCCAUUUCUCAGAUGAAGGAACCAAGGAGCAGAGAAGUUAAGUGACUUCCCAAAUGUACAUAGUUAGUGUGAUAUGCCAUAUUCAAAUUCACACUACCUGGAUC